rnacentral:rRNA from 1 species
GGAGUAUGGCCGCAAGGCUGAAACUCAAAGGAAUUGACGGGGGCUCACACAAGCGGUGGAGCAUGUGGCUUAAUUCGAGGCUACGCGAAGAACCUUAUCCCGGGCUUGACAUGCACGGAUUAGCCGGCGGAAACGUCGGCGACGCCUUCGGGUGGAACGUGCACAGGUGCUGCAUGGCUGUCGUCAGCUCGUGCCGUGAGGUGUUGGGUUAAGUCCCGUAACGAGCGAAACCCCUGCGACCAGUUGCCAUCAUUCAGUUGGGGACUCUGGUCGGACCGCCGGCGUUAAGCCGGAGGAAGGCGGGGACGACGUCAAGUCAUCAUGGCUCUUAUGCCCGGGGCUGCACACGUGCUACAAUGGGCCGGACAGAGCGUCGCCACUGCGUAAGCAGGAGCCAAUCGCAGAAACCGGUCCUCAGUUCGGAUUGUGGGCUGCAACCCGCCCACAUGAAGCUGGAAUCGCUAGUAAUCGCGGAUCAGCAGUGCCGCGGUGAAUGGGUUCCUGAGCCUUGUACACACCGCCCGUCAAGCCACCAAAGCGGGGGGCACCCGAAGUCGCUGAGCUCGCAA